GUUCUUCAAGGUCUUGCUCGAGGGACGACACCACUAGACGUACUUCACGCAUCUGAUCAGCCCCUUUUCAUACUCCAAUCAAGUUUAGAGCAGUAAGUUAGCUUCAUGGACCGCCUCUUGGAUGUUGUGUGUUUGUUAUAUGGUUGGACAAGUAACGCAAACAUUUGAUCUUUUGAUUAUGAAUUUGGUUAUGUAAUGGAUUUAGACGUCAUCUUGAACUUGU